AAAAUCACAAUAUAAACUAAGGUCCGACCGAGAACGAUAUUUUUGUCUCGGCCGAGAACGAGACCGAGACCGAGAUUCCAUUUGAUUCUCGGCCGAGACCGAGACCGAGACCGAGAAUUUGUAAAACAGUGAAAAGACAUGCCAUUUUUACAAAAAAAUGUUUUCAUAAUCGAAAUUCGACUAUUAAUCAGGAAACCAAGAGCAUGUCGGGCCCCGCUUAGUGUUUGGUUCCGUAACUACCCAAACCUACCGCACCCCUUACCUAUCUAUCGUAGCAA